UUUUGUCCCAAAGGGUUUUCCUUGGUGAGGUUUUUAAUGAGGAAGUUCUUCAAGGUUCCAAGCUUGACUUAGGAUCAGCUAAAGUCAAGCUUGAGGGGGAGUGUUAACUUGAAGAGAAGAAGUGGAGAAGCAAAAGUGAUGAGUUGAGUUGGUGCUUGUGCAAAGACAUGGCAAGAUCUUCAGAGAUUGUAUGUUAAGGCUUUGGGAGAGUCUUAAGGCUUCA
rnacentral:lncRNA from 1 species